AGCAGGUGUGGCCACUCCUUGCGGGAUGAGAGGCUCCAGCAGUAUCUAAGGGAAAGAUCAUCUUGUAAAGUGAAACAAGAUCUCCUUGCCAAGUGGAGGAACAUGGCAACCAAAAGCAUCACAGGUGUCCUCCCAACUUAACCUGAACCUCAUUCACUGGAUUGUCUUUGAGUGACUUUGGGCUGUCUCCUUAAAUAAAAUCCACCCUCAUUGGAAAAAGGCUUGCUGCCAUUGACAGGAGUCAAAAGAAUAGGCUCUUGACUCUGAAGGAAGAUCCCAAGAUAUAAUUUAUUUCAACUCAUUUAAGAUGUCGGCAGUGAAGUUGAUGAGGAAACUGAGGCAUGGAGAGUUUAAAGUAAGUGACUUAUUUAAAGGAACACAACUGGAUUCAUGUAAGGCUUUGUUCUCAAACUUCUACUUUUACACCCCAAAAUUCAACAACAUUCUUUUCAUUUUACUAUGCUACCUCUCUCCUCUUUUUCAAAGAUUUGGCUAGACUGAUCAAUGACCAUGCUUACCAAAUUCAUAUUGAAACACAAUGGUGAGAGGAUUAGCUACUGUAUUUAACAAAUUCUCUUUAUAUAGAGAGAUCCAGGAAAUGUCAACAUCUGGAUGAAUUGACUAAAAUGAAAUUUAAGAGGGACAUUGGUAAAAUCUUUUAGUUGGGUUCUAAAUACCACCAUCCCUGAGAAGUCAC
rnacentral:lncRNA from 1 species